AGAAGAGUUUGAUCCUGGCUCAGGAUGAACGCUAGCGACAGGCCUAACACAUGCAAGUCGAGGGGCAGCGCGGUGUAGCAAUACAUUGGCGGCGACCGGCGCACGGGUGAGUAACGCGUAUGCAACCUACCUACAACAGGGGGAUAACCCGGAGAAAUUCGGACUAAUACCGCAUAACACAGGGAUCCCGCAUGGGAAUAUUUGUUAAAGAUUUAUCGGUUGUAGAUGGGCAUGCGUUCCAUUAGCUGGUUGGCGAGGUAACGGCUCACCAAGGCAACGAUGGAUAGGGGAACUGAGAGGUUUGUCCCCCACACUGGAACUGAGACACGGACCAGACUCCUACGGGAGGCAGCAGUGAGGAAUAUUGGUCAAUGGGCGGGAGCCUGAACCAGCCAAGUCGCGUGAAGGAAGACAGCCUUAUGGGUUUUAAACUUCUUUUGCAGGGGAAUAAAAAGGAGUACGUGUACUUUAUUGCAUGUACCCUGCGAAUAAGCAUCGGCUAACUCCGUGCCAGCAGCCGCGGUAAUACGGAGGAUGCGAGCGUUAUCCGGAUUUAUUGGGUUUAAAGGGUGCGCAGGCGGGUUUUUAAGUCAGCGGUGAAAUAUUCAGGCUCAACCUGAAGGCUGCCGUUGAAACUGGGGAUCUUGAGUAUAGAUGAAGUAGGCGGAAUUCGUUGUGUAGCGGUGACAUGCUUAGAUAUAACGAGGAACUCCGAUUGCGUAGGCAGCUUACUAAACUAUAACUGACGCUCAUGCACGAAAGCGUGGGGAUCAAACAGGAUUAGAUACCCUGGUAGUCCACGCCGUAAACGAUGAUUACUAGUUGCAUGCGAUAUGAUAGUAUGUGACCAAGCGAAAGCGAUAAGUAAUCCACCUGGGGAGUACGCCGGCAACGGUGAAACUCAAAGGAAUUGACGGGGGCCCGCACAAGCGGAGGAACAUGUGGUUUAAUUCGAUGAUACGCGAGGAACCUUACCCGGGCUUGAAAUGCAGAAGAAUAAUGAGGAAACUUAUUAGCUAGCAAUAGCUUCUGUGUAGGUGCUGCAUGGUUGUCGUCAGCUCGUGCCGUGAGGUGUCGGCUUAAGUGCCAUAACGAGCGCAACCCACAUCAUUAGUUACUAACAGGUCGUGCUGAGGACUCUAAUGAGACUGCCGUCGUAAGAUGCGAGGAAGGUGUGGAUGACGUCAAAUCAGCACGGCCCUUACGUCCGGGGCGACACACGUGUUACAAUGGGUGGUACAAAGGGCAGCUACCUGGUGACAGGAUGCUAAUCUCCAAAGCCACUCCCAGUUCGGAUCGGAGUCUGCAACUCGACUCCGUGAAGCUGGAUUCGCUAGUAAUCGCGCAUCAGCCAUGGCGCGGUGAAUACGUUCCCGGGCCUUGUACACACCGCCCGUCAAGCCAUGGGAGCUGGGGGUAUCUGAAGUACGUAACCGCGAGGAGCGUCCUAGGGUAAAACCGGUGACUGGGGCUAAGUCGUAACAAGGUAGCCGUACCGGAAGGUGCGGCUGGAACACCUCCUUU
rnacentral:rRNA from 1 species